AGAGUUUGAUCCUGGCUCAGAAUCAACGCUGGCGGCGUGCCUCAGACAUGCAAGUCGAACGAUUAAAGCUCUCUUCGGAGAGUGUAUAGAGUGGCGCACGGGUGAGUAACACGUAAGUAAUCUACCUUUGAGUGGGGAAUAACGUCCGGAAACGGACGCUAAUACCGCAUAAUGCAGCGGCAUCGCAAGAUGACAGUUGUUAAAGAUUUAUCGCUUGAAGAGGAGCUUGCGGCAGAUUAGCUAGUUGGUAAGGUAAUGGCUUACCAAGGCUACGAUCUGUAACCGGUCUAAGAGGACGGUCGGUCACACUGACACUGAAUAACGGGUCAGACUCCUGCGGGAGGCAGCAGUCGGGAAUUUUGGGCAAUGGGCGAAAGCCUGACCCAGCAACGCCGCGUGAAGGAUGAAGUAUUUCGGUAUGUAAACUUCGAAAGAAUGGGAAGAAUAAAUGACGGUACCAUUUAUAAGGUCCGGCUAACUACGUGCCAGCAGCCGCGGUAAUACGUAGGGACCAAGCGUUGUUCGGAUUUACUGGGCGUAAAGGGCGCGUAGGCGGCCCUACAAGUCACUUGUGAAAUCUCCGGGCUUAACUCGGAAUGGCCAAGUGAAACUGUAAGGCUAGAGUGCAGAAGGGGCAAUCGGAAUUCUUGGUGUAGCGGUGAAAUGCGUAGAUAUCAAGAGGAACACCUGAGGUGAAGACGGGUUGCUGGGCUGACACUGACGCUGAGGCGCGAAAGCCAGGGGAGCAAACGGGAUUAGAUACCCCGGUAGUCCUGGCCCUAAACGAUGAAUACUUGGUG
rnacentral:rRNA from 1 species